CCCGGCAGCACUCUUCGGAGAGCAGGACGGAUGUAACUGAGUAAACAUUUUAUGGCUGUAGAAAUCAUUUCAGAAGUCCAGUGUGUGUACAGUCAUGUGAGAAAUGUGUACAGUUUUACCUCCAGGUCUCGGAGUCUCUCUAAAAGCUCUUUAUUGCUCGCCGUGUCGUCCUCCUCCUCUUCAUCCUCCUCCUCAUCUUCCUCCAAAAGCACGUCAGCGUCACCCUAUUUCCUGGCUGUAGUAUAUCAACACUACAACCCUGACCAGGAGUAAAGGCCUUGAGGUGGAACAGAUUCAUUAAAGACCAUUAGGAGAUCCAUUAAAGACCAGUAGGAGAUCCAUUAAAGACCAUUAGGAGAACCAGUGGCCUUCAGUGAUGUUUCUGCUGUUAAAAAUAGAGCUCUGGAGUCAUUCUUUCGCUCCGUACUCUCCAUUUAACUGCUUUAUUCUGUGACUGGCUUUUUGUCCUUUCUUCUUAGAAUACGGGUCUGUGCUGUAGGCCAUCUGACACAAUAAUAUACGUAAUAAUAUACAUAAUAAUUCAGUAAAGUUGUUGCUUAGACACAUGAGCAGAUGGGUAAAGAGAUGAAUAUCUCAGUUAAUGGUGCAGUCAGUGAUUUUAGCUGAAACUAGAUCUAAAACUCAGGCCUUAUCCACACUAACAUACAAAAGGUUUUACUCUGUUUUUGGCCUUGUAUGUUCCUCGAAGCACCAUUUUUAACCUCUGAAAAUGAAACUUUAAAACGUAAUCUUCGUUAAAUAUAUAAACAAAAAACAAUUUCACUUUAUAUAUCUCUCUGUAUACUGAAGUGCUGCGUCUCUCACACUGUGCUGUUCCCACCAUUGUUUUAUUUUCAACACAGCGUGUAUAUUACUGUUUCAGAUGCAACGUCUCAGUAGAUUAUUUGUUUAGACUGUUAUGUUAACGAAUUUGUGCUGUUUAUUACAGAAAUAACUGUUGGUGUUUUUUCAGUUAGUUUAUAGUUGCUGAUAUUCACUAUUAGUGUGAAAGCAGCAUUUUAACAAGAAGUCAAUUUUAAGGGUGAGUACAUCAGGCACCUUGUACAGUUUAAAAUUUUCACAAAUCUCAUUUUCACCAGUAAAAUCCAGUGCAAAUAAGUGUGUUAAAGUGGCUAUAAUAAUAAUAAUUAGUGUGUUAAAAGUGGCUAUAAUAAUAAUAAUAAUAAUAAUUAUUAUUAU